UCAUCACGUACAAUACGUCCGGCGCGCGCUUGAUAUACAUUCAUGAGAGUUGAAGUCAUCGGUCUUUUCACCGACUGUGUUGCAACGUUGCGCCAUUAAACGAAUCCAAAAACAUCGGUCAAAAUGAGACUAUGCUCAUACAGGCCCAUUGCUAAGAGGUUAAAGCCAGUAUUGAUGAUGAACAAGAUGGACCAUGCAUUGCUAGAGCUGCAGCUGGGCCCUGAAGAGCUGUACCAUACUUUCCAGUGCUUUCAUUCGAGAACGUCAACAUGAUCAUCUCCACAUAUGGCAAGAAUGAGAACGGACCUAUGGGCAACAUUGUGUCGUUGAAACUAUUGGCUUUGGAUCUGGACUGCUUUCACUUUGAAGCAGUUUGCUGCCAAUGGUGAAGCACAGCUGGGACCAGCUGAAUGGUGCAAGAAGGUGGAGAACUUGAAGCUUUGGGGAGAUUGGUACAUUUAACCCUUCCUCUGGGAAGUUGUAGCAAGUCUUCCGCACCAGAUGGAAAAAGCUUCCCAGAACUUGCCCAUUUGAUGCUGGACCCUACUUUAAAAAUAUUUGAUGCCAUCACACACUUCGAGGGAAACCUCUAAACCGAUUGAGAAGAUGGACAUCAGAUAAAAUCCUGAGGGCAAGACGAACACUAUGGAGAUUUAGAUGAAUUCAAAACGUACAGUCAAGAUCUGACUAUGGUUUUAAAAUGCCUUAUUGAAUUUUGGACCAACAGGCAAUUGUGGUUUUUCUAUGUUCCUAGUGAAACUGGAAAUUAAUGUUUUGUGCUUAAACCGUCAAAUACAAUUGCGCAAUUUAUGUACUGUGUACAUGGCUUGUAUCCUAAUACAUAUUGUGUGCUUGCUGUAGUAUUAAAAGAGAUUAGCAACCUCAAAGUAAAAA